rnacentral:tRNA from 1 species
GCCCGAGUAAUCUAGUAGUUUAAGACGUUGGCGUGUUAACUAGCGGACUAGUCACCUACGAGGGAGGGUGGGCGAUUAGGCAGUUGGGCAAACCUUCAACCCGGGUUCAAAUCCCGGCUUAGGCA